rnacentral:rRNA from 1 species
AGCGAACGCUGGCGGCAGGCUUAACACAUGCAAGUCGAGCGGGCACUUUCGGGUGUCAGCGGCGGACGGGUGAGUAACGCGUGGGAACGUGCCCUCUGGUUCGGAAUAACUCAGGGAAACUUGAGCUAAUACCGGAUACGCCCUUUUGGGGAAAGGCUUGCUGCCGGAGGAUCGGCCCGCGUCUGAUUAGCUAGUUGGUGAGGUAACGGCUCACCAAGGCGACGAUCAGUAGCUGGUCUGAGAGGAUGAUCAGCCACACUGGGACUGAGACACGGCCCAGACCCCUACGGGAGGCAGCAGUGGGGAAUAUUGGACAAUGGGCGCAAGCCUGAUCCAGCCAUGCCGCGUGAGUGAUGAAGGCCUUAGGGUUGUAAAGCUCUUUUAUCCGGGACGAUAAUGACGGUACCGGAGGAAUAAGCCCUGGCUAACUUCGUG